rnacentral:rRNA from 1 species
CCUACGGGUGGCAGCAGUGGGGAAUAUUGCACAAUGGAGGGAACUCUGAUGCAGCGACGCCGCGUGAGUGAUGAAGUAAUUCGUUAUGUUAAGCUCUAUCAGCAGGGAAGUAAAUGACGGUACCUGAAAAAGAAUCUCCGGCCAAAUCCGUGCCAGCAGCCGUGGUAAUACGGAGGGAGCAAGCGUUAUCCGGAUUUACUGGGUGUAAAGGGGGAGUAGGUGGCAGAGCAAGUCCGAAGUGAAAACCCAAAGCUCAACCAUGGGAAUGCUUUAGAAACUGCUCAGCUAGAGUUCAGUAGAGGCAAGUGGAAUUCUUGGUGUAGCGGUGAAAUGCGUAGAUAUUAGGAGGAACACCAGUGGCGAAGGCGGCUUGCUGGACUGUAACUGACACUGAGGCUCGAAAGCGUGGGGAGCAAACAGGAUUAGAUACCCUGGUAGUC